CACGGGGGGAGCAAGCGUUGUUCGGAUUCAUUGGGCGUAAAGAGCUCGUAGGUGGCUCUGUAAGUCGGAGGUGAAAGACCACGGCUCAACCGUGGAAACGCCUUCGAAACUGUGGAGCUUGAGGCUGGGAGAGGAGAUCGGAAUUCCUGGUGUAGCGGUGAAAUGCGUAGAUAUCAGGAGGAACACCGGUGGCGAAGGCGGAUCUCUGGACCAGUUCUGACACUGAGGAGCGAAAGCUAGGGGAGCAAAC
rnacentral:rRNA from 1 species